rnacentral:misc_RNA from 1 species
GGAAUGUGAUACAAAUUGAAGUUAAGAUAUAUUAAUAAAACAAAUUUAAAGUUCAACAGUGGGUGAAAUAAAUCCCCUCAAAUAAUAAAGAGAAGAAUUGGUAACGCUAGCUAACCCUAGCUAGAAGCUAAGAAAGAAGCCCCCCAUUCCAUUGUUAGUUAUAUGCAUGGAAAAGCUAAUAAUCAAUUAACCCCUGGCCAUGGGGAACACUUGAGCAGAGCAGACCCCAUAUAGGUUUGGCACCCAACUAUUCUUUUUUUCUCUUUGGUCUCUU